rnacentral:misc_RNA from 1 species
GAAAUGCGAUAAGUAAUGUGAAUUGCAGAAUUCAGUGAAUCAUCGAAUCUUUGAACGCACAUUGCGCCCGCCAGUAUUCUGGCGGGCAUGCCUGUUCGAGCGUCAUUUCAACCAUCAAGCCCCGGCGCUUGUGUUGGGGACCCGCGGCUGCCGCGGGCCCUUAAAGACAGUGGCGGUCCUCGCUGCAGCACCGAGCGUAGUAGCUAUACACCUCGCCCUGGGAGCUGCGCGUGCGGCCACGCCGUAAAACCCCCCACCUCUCACAAGGUUGACCUCGGAUCAGGUAGGAAUACCCGCUGAACUUAAGC